rnacentral:rRNA from 1 species
CCUACGGGUGGCAGCAGUGGGGAAUAUUGGGCAAUGGGCGUAAGCCUGACCCAGCAACGUCGCGUGAAGGAAGAAGGCUCUCGGGUUUUUAAAUUUCUUUUAGAGGGGAGUGCAGAUGACGGUACCUCUUGAAUAAGCUAUGCCGAAUUACGUGCCAGCAGCCGCGGCAAUACGUAGGUCGCCAGUGUUGUCCGGAUUUACUGGGUUUAAAGGGCGUGUAGGCGGGAAGACAAGUCAGUGGUGAAAUUCCGCGGCUCAACCACGGAACUGCAGUUGAAACUGUUUUUCUUGAGUACGGGAGAGGUACGCGGAAUGCGUGGUGUAGCGGUGAAAUGCAUAGAUAUAAGGAAGAACACCGAUGGCGAAGGCAGAUGACUGAACGGCAACUGACGGUGAGGCGCGAAAGCGUGGGGAGCAAACAGGAUUAGAUACCCUGGUAGUC